rnacentral:rRNA from 1 species
AGUCAACCUACCCUAUGGACGGGAAUGAUCUCGGGAAACUGAGGAUAAUGCCCGAUAGAACACUAUGCCUGGAACGGUUUGUGUUCCAAAUGAUUUAUCGCCGUAGGAUGGGACUGCGGCCUAUCAGUUUGUUGGUGAGGUAAUGGCCCACCAAGACUAUUACAGGUACGGGCUCUGAGAGGAGUAGCCCGGAGAUGGGUACUGAGACACGGACCCAGGCCCUAUGGGGCGCAGCAGGCGAGAAAACUUUGCAAUGUGCGAAAGCACGACAAGGUUAAUCCGAGUGGUUCCUGCUAAAGGAACCUUUUGACGGUCCUAAAAACACCGUUGAAUAAGGGGUGGGCAAGUUCUGGUGUCAGCCGCCGCGGUAAAACCAGCACCUCAAGUGGUCAGGAUGAUUAUUGGGCCUAAAGCAUCCGUAGCCGGCUCUGUUAGUUUUCGGUUAAAUCUGUACGCUCAACGUACAGGCUGCCGGGAAUACUGCAGAGCUAGGGAGUGGGAGAGGUAGACGGUACUUGGUAGGAAGGGGUAAAAUCCUUUGAUCUAUUGAUGACCACCUGUGGCGAAGGCGGUCUACCAGAACACGUCCGACGGUGAGGGAUGAAAGCUGGGGGAGCAAACCGGAUUAGAUACCCGGGUAGUCCCAGCUGUAAACCAUGCAAACUCAAUGAUGCACUGGCUUGAAGCCAGUGCAGUGUU